UACACAAUGAACAUAAGAUUAAGAAUGAACUAUAAUUAGCUCAUCGUUAAUUUAAGUUCUAUUGGACUCUUUUGAGGAUAAGCUCGAAAGUUGCUUAAAUGAGGAUCAUACUAUUUAAAACUGCUGUGUGGGCCUAAAAUUAGCCAUCAUAAGAGUUUGUUAUAAAAUAACAAAACCACGUUAAAAAUAUAAUUAUAUGUAAUACCAUGAAAACUAUAAGAAUAAUAAUCUUAACUAAGAGAUUUUACACCUAUGCUAGGAUGAGUAUUAUAAAUUUUAUAAAUUAAAUGUAAUCAACAUUUUUAGAAAAGUAUUAUUUAACAAUAAAUUAAAGAGAAGGAAUUCGGCAAAUAUUUAUUCCGCCUGUUUAUCAAAAACAUGGCUCUUUGAAGAGAAUGUAUAAAGAGUCGAACCUGCCCAGUGAAUUAUUUUAAACGGCCGCGGUACCCUGACCGUGCAAAGGUAGCAUAAUCAUUUGCCUUAUAAUUGAAGGCUGGCAUGAAUGGUCUGACGGGAGUAAUACUGUCUCCUCUUUAUUAUCUAAAAAUUAACCUAUAGGUGAAGAGGCCUAUAUUAAAUUGAAGGACAAAAAGACCCUGUCGAGCUUUAAAAAAGAGCAGGACGUUAGUUAUUUAAAUAAAAUCAAUGAACUGUAUUAUGGUUUUUAGUUGGGGCGACGAAGGAACAAACAAAGCUUCUUUUAUUUCUGUAAAUUUAUAAAUUUGGAUCCAGCAGAGCUGAUUGGAAAAAUUAGUUACCGCAGGGAUAACAGCAUAAUCUCCUUCAAGAGACCUAAUCGAAAGGGGGGGUUGUGACCUCGAUGUUGGACUAGAAUAUCCUGAAGAUGCAGACGUCU
rnacentral:rRNA from 1 species